UUCAGUGGAGCGGCCCUGGGGCGCGCCUUCCCCUCCGGAGCCUCGGUUUCCUCCCUUCGAACUGUGGGGAAUGGGAGCCCCUUGCCCUGCAGGCGCAGAGUGAGACCUAGGGGGUCCGGGGCCGGCGCAAGCCCACGCACUGCGAUCGCUCAAUGAACUAGCCCCUGGUCCAGCCUCCUUCUGGCUCCUCGACCUUUCCCGGGGUCUCACUUUAGGACCCGCCUCUCAGCAUCUCUGCCGAGAAGGUCAAGAUGGUGCAACCUUGAAGAUGCUUACAGGAUGGGCUGGCCUGGAAAGGCUUCUGCAGCUGGCGUAGCUACAGUCUGGAACAUCAGUGACGUUCAGGCAGACUUCCUGGAGGAGCUCAGAACAGGAGAAAAGCAAAAGUGAAAAGUGAAAGUGUUCGUCGCUCAGUCAUCUCUGACUCAUUGUGACACCGUGGGCUGUCGACCACCAGGCUCCUCUGUCCGUGGAGUUCUCCAGGCAAGAAUACUGGAGUGGGUUGCCAUUCGCUUCUCCAGGGGAUCUUCCCACCCCAGGGAUUGAACCCGGGUCUCUUGCACUGCGGGCGGAUUCUUUACCAUCUGAGCUACCAUUCCAGUAAAACAAAGGUUCUUGUGCUUCUGACCCCUGGGAUGGUGAGGGUGGGGCCACGGCUUUGGGCAGGGUCUGCAUGCGGCCAGCUCAGUCCACAUCUCCACUUUCUGGCACCUGGGACACACUGUUUCACUAUUUCAUUCUUCAAUGGCUCUAAACCCUCUUCUUUAACCAGAUGGUGCCCCUUCGUGAGUCUCCUCUUGUCCCUUCUUUGUGGCUUCCACCCAGAACGAUGCCAAGGUAUGUGUGACUUCUAAAUCUCCUGCUUAGACCUCUCACCUGGGUACCAGGAGAUUGUGGAUCUGGUCCUGUCUGCCUGGGAUUAACUGGGAGACAAUCUCUUCUCUGAGAUUUCCUUGCCUAGAAGGUGGGAACCAUGCCAUGAGUCCGGGGACAGAGGCGUUUGCAGCCUCAGCCCUGGGGUCAAAGGCCUGGAACACCCUAACCGUGGGCACACCCCUCUGUGCCAGGUGCAGAGCCCCACAGACAGCGAGGAGGGCGCACAGGCCGGGGCUGCUGGAACGUGCGCAGGCUGCCCUUGGUGAAAGUGGGAGGCAGAGGCGGACGCCAAUUUUCCCCACUCCACUGGGCAGGAAAAUUAUUUCUUCUGAUUCCUCUGUGUUCCAGCCGGUUCUGUGCCUGCAAGAGAUCCAGAGGUUGGUUGGAACAGGGGCUGCUGUGAACCUCAAAGUCAGGCAGCGGCAGGGACCCCGGCUCUGGCUGAGACUGGAGGUGGAGGGAGGCAGCCUGCCCACAGCGGCCGGAGCCCUUCUGGGCCCUUGAGCAUCUCCAGCUUGUUUUCUCGAGCCUCUCCAGUCUUUCUCUGGGCUCUGCCCCUCUGCCCCCCACCUCCCCUCUGGGCGGUGGAUUUUCUCGGGGCUGUGGACAUCACAGAGGAGGGCCCCAAAGGAAAGCAAGGUGGGGCGGCCACAUGUGUCUGCCACAAGUGAUCGCUGAGACCCCAGCAGACCUGCAAGGAAGGGAGGCUCAGCCCAGCUUAGAGGGGAAACUGAGCCUCAGAGGGUCGGGUCGGCGUGCUCAGGGGACAUGAGGGGUGGGCACGUUCUAGCAGGGCCCCUUAGCCCCCCUAGCAUGUCCCCAGAUGGGACCAGCCAAGCAGAGGGAGGUGAAGCAAUGGAGCCCGCCCCUGUUUCGAAGGGCCCAGAUGCCAUUCAUGUCUAGGUGCUCAGACUUCUGGAGAACACCACCAAAGCCUCCCAUCCUAGGGGGCAGGGCAGGGGCCCAGGGGCCACAGCUGAGGUCCAGGAGCCCAGCGUGCUCCUCCCUGGCCAGAGCAGCCAGUGACUGGGCAGACUGGGACAUGCCUAGGGGGACUGACCCACCUGGCACAGGGCUGAGCAGGCUUUCGGGUCUAAAAUGGGACAGUCCUGGGCAAACCAGGAUCAGUUGGUCCCCCCCAGGCAGAUGAAGAACUUUGGAUGGUUCAAGUCCAAACUUAGACUGGGAGGUAGUGGGGGCUUCAGGGCUAGAGGGGAUUUAGUGGAGGGGAGGGCGAGCUUGACUGAGGAAGCAGUGCUGGCGAGGAAGGAGGUCGGGUCUGCCUGUUUCAAGGUUCUGCCAGGAGCUGAGCACACUCCUGAGGGAUCUGGGGGUUCCCCUGGGGGAGCUGCGCUUCCGGGACCCAGUCUCAGAUCCCUCUCUUCCUCAGGUCAGCCUCCCCCUGGGACACGAGGUCCGGCUUUCAGACCUGGAUAUCCACUCCAUCAUUGCUCGUGUCUGUCUGGCCAAAACGAGCACCCCCCACCCAACUUAGGGCAGAGAGGGUGCAGGCUGGGGAGUCAGCCAGGGCUUUGUUCAGAUCUCAGCCUGGCCUUGUCCUUACCCUGGGAGAGGCCAUUUGUGGCUCCAGCUUUUGUUUCUGCAUCUGGAAGGGGGUUCCCUUCUCUGCAAAGAUGCUGCGAAGAUGGAAGAUUUGGAGCAAGGUCUGUGGAGGCCCUGGGACGCCCAGGGGGCUCCGGGGGAGCUUAGCUUCCCCAGGAGAUUAGGUCCAGGAGAAAGGAGCUUGGACAAAUGGAAGACUGCUGAGCAAGAUGGAUUGCUGAGCAAGAUGGCAGGGGCUGGAUGGCGGCACCCAGCCCCCGGUCAGCCCCCGGGACCCUGUCCCUAGUCCCCAGGAAGUGUUCAUUCUGAGACUGGACUUGCGACCCGUGCCUCCCACCCCCAUGACUCCCUCUCUCCACCCCCAAACAGAACUUUGUCCAGGGGUUGGCGGUCCAGGCCCAGUUGAAGGAUAGCAUGUUCCAGCCAUCCUCGAGCCGGAAUGGUCAGGUGAGUUGUGUGGGGAAUUGAGUGGAAGAAGUUGUUAAAAGGGAUUUUGUUGUUUUCUUAUAGCUUCACUGAGGUACAAUUGACUUGCAAUAAUCUGCUCCCAUUUAAACCGCACAAUUUGGUAAGUUUCGACGUGUAUGUCAGGAAGCCAUCACCACAAUCAAGAUAGUGAAUGUUUCCAUCAGCUGCAAGCAUUUCCUCUUGCCUCUUUGUAAGCCAUCCAUCACAGGGUGACCCUGUCCUCACGCAACCCCUGAUCUGCUCUGUACCGCUACAGAUUAGCUUGCCCUUUCUGGAGUCUUAUAUAAGUAGAAUCCUACAGUACAUAUUCUCUUUCUUUCCCUUUUUUUUUGGCUGGGGGAAUUCUGGCUCCUUCCACUUUGCAUAAUGAUUCUGAGAUUCAUCCAUGCUGUUGGGUAUAUCAAUAGUUCGUUUCUUUUUAUUGUUGAUUUGUCUUUCACUGUUCGAAUAUGCUGUCGUCUGUUUAUCCAUUUCCCAAUUAAUGGACAUUUGGGUUUUUCCACUUUUUGGCUAUGAAAGCAAAGCUGCUAGGAAUAUUUGGGUCCAAGUUUGUGUGUGGACAUAUUGCUUUAAUUUCUUUUGGGCAAAUACCUCGGAGUGGAAUGGCUUGAUCAUAUGGUAGGUGUAUCUCUAAUUUGUUAAGAAGCUGCCAAACUGUUUUCAAAGUGGCUGCACAAUUUUAAAUCCCCAGCAGCCAAAUAUGAAAGAUCCAGCUGCUCCACAUUCCUGUUAGCGUUGGGUAAGGCCAGUCUUUUACAUUUUAGGCAUUCAUAAUGGGUGUGUGCUGGUAUCUCACUGUGCUUUUUUAAAAAAAAAUUUUUUUUGUUGGAGUAUCAUUGCUUUACAAUGUUAUGUUGGUUUCUGCUGUACAGCAGAGGGAAUCAGCUAUCAGUUCAGU